AACGAACGCUGGCGGCAUGCCUAACACAUGCAAGUCGAACGAGACCUUCGGGUCUAGUGGCGCACGGGUGCGUAACGCGUGGGAACCUGCCCUAAGGUUCGGAAUAACUCCCCGAAAGGGGUGCUAAUACCGGAUAAUGUCUUCGGACCAAAGAUUUAUCGCCUUUGGAUGGGCCCGCGUUGGAUUAGCUAGUUGGUAGGGUAAAAGCCUACCAAGGCGACGAUCCAUAGCUGGUCUGAGAGGAUGAUCAGCCACACUGGGACUGAGACACGGCCCAGACUCCUACGGGAGGCAGCAGUGGGGAAUAUUGGACAAUGGGCGAAAGCCUGAUCCAGCAAUGCCGCGUGAGUGAUGAAGGCCUUAGGGUUGUAAAGCUCUUUUACCCGGGAUGAUAAUGACAGUACCGGGAGAAUAAGCGCCGGCUAACUCCGUG
rnacentral:rRNA from 1 species